UACGGGGGGAGCAAGCGUUGUUCGGAUUUACUGGGCGUAAAGGGCGCGUAGGCGGUCAGCACAAGUCAGUUGUGAAAUCUCCGGGCUUAACUCGGAAAGGUCAACUGAUACUGUGCGACUAGAGUGCAGAAGGGGCAACUGGAAUUCUCGGUGUAGCGGUGAAAUGCGUAGAUAUCGGGAAGAACACCCGUGGCGAAGGCGGUUCUCUGGGACGGUACUGACGCUGAGACGCGAAAGCGUGGGGAGCGAACAGG
rnacentral:rRNA from 1 species